AUUGAACGCUGGCGGCAUGCCUUACACAUGCAAGUCGAACGGCAGCACGGGUGCUUGCACCUGGUGGCGAGUGGCGAACGGGUGAGUAAUACAUCGGAACAUGUCCUGUAGUGGGGGAUAGCCCGGCGAAAGCCGGAUUAAUACCGCAUACGAUCUACGGAUGAAAGCGGGGGACCUUCGCGCCUCGCGCUGUAGGGUUGGCAGAUGGCUGAUUAGCUAGUUGGUGGGGUAAAGGCCUACCAAGGCGACGAUCAGUAGCUGGUCUGAGAGGGCGACCAGCCACACGGGGACUGAGACACGGCCCAGACUCCUACGGGAGGCAGCAGUGGGGAAUUUUGGACAAUGGGCGAAAGCCUGAUCCAGCAAUGCCGCGUGUGUGAAGAAGGCCUUCGGGUUGUAAAGCACUUUUGUCCGGAAAGAAAUCCUUGGCUCUAAUACAGUCAGGGGAUGACGGUACCGGAAGAAUAAGCACCGGCUAACUACGUG
rnacentral:rRNA from 1 species